rnacentral:rRNA from 1 species
UUGAUGGCGAGUGGCGAACGGGUGAGUAAAUACAUCGGAACGUGCCCUGUAGUGGGGGAUAACUAGUCGAAAGAUUAGCUAAUACCGCAUACGACCUGAGGGUGAAAGUGGGGGACCGCAAGGCCUCAUGCUAUAGGAGCGGCCGAUGUCUGAUUAGCUAGUUGGUGAGGUAAAGGCUCACCAAGGCGACGAUCAGUAGCUGGUCUGAGAGGACGAUCAGCCACACUGGGACUGAGACACGGCCCAGACUCCUACGGGAGGCAGCAGUGGGGAAUUUUGGACAAUGGGCGAAAGCCUGAUCCAGCAAUGCCGCGUGUGUGAAGAAGGCCUUCGGGUUGUAAAGCACUUUUGUCCGGAAAGAAAUCGCACUUACUAAUACUAGGUGUGGAUGACGGUACCGGAAGAAUAAGGACCGGCUAACUACGUGCCAGCAGCCGCGGUAAUACGUAGGGUCCAAGCGUUAAUCGGAAUUACUGGGCGUAAAGCGUGCGCAGGCGGUUGUGCAAGACCGAUGUGAAAUCCCCGAGCUUAACUUGGGAAUUGCAUUGGUGACUGCACGGCUAGAGUGUGUCAGAGGGGGGUAGAAUUCCACGUGUAGCAGUGAAAUGCGUAGAGAUGUGGAGGAAUACCGAUGGCGAAGGCAGCCCCCUGGGAUAACACUGACGCUCAUGCACGAAAGCGUGGGGAGCAAACAGGAUUAGAUACCCCUUGUAGUCCACGCCCUAAAACGAUGUCAACUAGGUGGUUGGGGGAUUUCAUUUCCUUAGUAACGUAGCUAACGCGUGAAGUUGACCCGCCUGGGAGUACGGUCGCAAGAUUAAAAUCAAA